AGUGAACGCUGGCGGUAGGCCUAACACAUGCAAGUCGAACGGCAGCACAGUAAGAGCUUGCUCUUACGGGUGGCGAGUGGCGGACGGGUGAGGAAUACAUCGGAAUCUACUUUUUCGUGGGGGAUAACGUAGGGAAACUUACGCUAAUACCGCAUACGACCUACGGGUGAAAGCAGGGGAUCUUCGGACCUUGCGCGAUUGAAUGAGCCGAUGUCGGAUUAGCUAGUUGGCGGGGUAAAGGCCCACCAAGGCGACGAUCCGUAGCUGGUCUGAGAGGAUGAUCGGCCACACUGGAACUGAGACACGGUCCAGACUCCUACGGGAGGCAGCAGUGGGAAAUAUUGGACAAUGGGCGCAAGCCUGAUCCAGCCAUACCGCGUGGGUGAAGAAGGCCUUCGGGUUGUAAAGCCCUUUUGUUGGGAAAGAAAAGCAGCAGGUUAAUACCCCGCUGUUCUGACGGUACCCAAAGAAUAAGCACCGGCUAACUUCGU
rnacentral:rRNA from 1 species